rnacentral:rRNA from 1 species
AGCAUAUCAAUAAGCGGAGGAAAAGAAACCAACAGGGAUUGCCCCAGUAACGGCGAGUGAAGCGGCAACAGCUCAAAUUUGAAAUCUGGCUCUCGGGCCCGAGUUGUAAUUUGUAGAGGAUGCUUUUGGUGAGGUGCCUUCCGAGUUCCCUGGAACGGGACGCCAUAGAGGGUGAGAGCCCCGUCUGGUUGGACACCGAUCCUCUGUAAAGCUCCUUCGACGAGUCGAGUAGUUUGGGAAUGCUGCUCUAAAUGGGAGGUAUAUGUCUUCUAAAGCUAAAUACCGGCCAGAGACCGAUAGCGCACAAGUAGAGUGAUCGAAAGAUGAAAAGAACUUUGAAAAGAGAGUUAAAAAGUACGUGAAAUUGUUGAAAGGGAAGCGCUUGUGACCAGACUUGGGCUUGGUUGAUCAUCCGGGGUUCUCCCCGGUGCACUCUUCCGGCUCAGGCCAGCAUCAGUUCGCCCUGGGGGAUAAAGGCUUCGGGAAUGUGGCUCUCUCCGGGGAGUGUUAUAGCCCGCUGCGUAAUACCCUGUGGCGGACUGAGGUUCGCGCAUUCGCAAGGAUGCUGGCGUAAUGGUCAUCAGUGACCCGUCUUGAAACACGGACCAAGGAGUCGUCUUCGUAUGCGAGUGUUCGGGUGUCAAACCCCUACGCGAAAUGAAAGUGAACGCAGGUGAGAGCUUCGGCGCAUCAUCGACCGAUCCUGAUGUUAUCGGAUGGAUUUGAGUAAGAGCAUACGGGGCCGGACCCGAAAGAAGGUGAACUAUGCCUGUGUAGGGUGAAGCCAGAGGAAACUCUGGUGGAGGCUCGCAGCGGUUCUGACGUGCAAAUCGAUCGUCAAACAUGGGCAUGGGGGCGAAAGACUAAUCGAACUUCUUGGCC